UUUGCAAGUCGAACGAAUCUCUUUUAGAGAUGAGUGGCGAACGGGUGAGUAAUACAUAGGUAACCUGCCCCUGUGCGGGGGAUAACAGGAGGAAACUCCUGCUAAUACCGCAUAGCCAUGAGCACCGCAUGGAGCUCAUGCCAAAUAUCCUUUCGGGGAUAGCGCAGGGAUGGACCUAUGGCGCAUUAGCUGGUUGGCGGGGCAACGGCCCACCAAGGCAACGAUGCGUAGCCGGCCUGAGAGGGCGGACGGCCACAUUGGGACUGAGACACGGCCCAGACUCCUACGGGAGGCAGCAGUAGGGAAUUUUCGGCAAUGGGGGAAACCCUGACCGAGCAACGCCGCGUGAGCGAAGAAGGCCUUCGGGUCGUAAAGCUCUGUUGUAAAGGAAGAACGGUGCAUACAGGAAAUGGUAUGCGAGUGACGGUACUUUACCAGAAAGCCACGGCUAACUACGUGCCAGCAGCCGCGGUAAUACGUAGGUGGCGAGCGUUAUCCGGAAUCAUUGGGCGUAAAGAGGGAGCAGGCGGCCGCAAGGGUCUGUGGUGAAAGACCGAAGCUAAACUUCGGUAAGCCAUGGAAACCGGGCGGCUAGAGUGCGGAAGAGGAUCGUGGAAUUCCAUGUGUAGCGGUGAAAUGCGUAGAUAUAUGGAGGAACACCAGUGGCGAAGGCGACGGUCUGGGCCGCAACUGACGCUCAUUCCCC
rnacentral:rRNA from 1 species